rnacentral:rRNA from 1 species
GAUGAACGCUGGCGGCGUGCCUAAUACAUGCAAGUCGAGCGAACAGACGAGGAGCUUGCUCCUCUGACGUUAGCGGCGGACGGGUGAGUAACACGUGGAUAACCUACCUAUAAGACUGGGAUAACUUCGGGAAACCGGAGCUAAUACCGGAUAAUAUAUUGAACCGCAUGGUUCAAUAGUGAAAGACGGUUUUGCUGUCACUUAUAGAUGGAUCCGCGCCGCAUUAGCUAGUUGGUAAGGUAACGGCUUACCAAGGCAACGAUGCGUAGCCGACCUGAGAGGGUGGUCGGCCACACUGGAACUGAGACACGGUCCAGACUCCUACGGGAGGCAGCAGUAGGGAAUCUUCCGCAAUGGGCGAAAGCCUGACGGAGCAACGCCGCGUGAGUGAUGAAGGUCUUCGGAUCGUAAAACUCUGUUAUUAGGGAAGAACAAAUGUGUAAGUAACCAUGCACGUCUUGACGGUACCUAAUCAGAAAGCCACGGCUAACUACGUG